GCUUUCAGAUACAUGCCUGUCAUUUAAUUUGUGUGUUCUUCGUCCUAAGAGCAAAUGGUGUGAUCUGUGGUGUGUAGGAGUGAAAUGCAAGAGGGAGUAAUCUUAUCCCUUGAUAAAAACAUAUAAUCAUCAACCUAGAAAUAAAAACCUGCUUUCAGAGACAAAUACAUACAACUUUGGAUGCAUCCAAAGGUUCUAUUCUAAACAUCUACGAAAUUGCAGUAUAGUUCAGGUACGGAAUUUAUUUCAGUUGUUGAUAAAAAAAAAUAAAAUUGUUGUGUGAAGCUUCAACUACAACAAAAAACACAUUUUCAUACCAAAUAUGAUACCAAAAUAAAAGCUCUGUUUAUUUUUCUUUUCUAUUAAUAUAAACAUUAUGUAUAUCUCUUGUCAAAAAGAAAGAGCAUCCUCUAUAUUUGUAUAUAUGUUUACAUGAAAUAGUAAAAAAAGGAUUUUAUGAUAAGAUCAAGCGCAACAGAUUCCCUUGCAGCAAUAUAUGAUUGUGAAAUGUGUCAGUAAGACUAACCAUCAAGCUAACCGUGCAAAUUCAUCUUCUUCUUUCUCUGUUUCAGUUGCAGCAUUUAUCACCAUAGUUGAAGGUGAAGAGGGUACAACAAGUGGUGAUGAGCUUAAUUUUUUAAGUUCGUCGACUUUCUGGCUAG
rnacentral:lncRNA from 1 species